CUCUCUCACUAACGUGGUUUUGUUGUUAUCUCUCUCUAAGAGAGUGCAAUGAAAAGAAAUGGCAGUACUUCAGAGUCGCUUACAGUGUUUUAGGUUCUACCAACUACACUCUCUAGCUCUCUAGUAAGUUGGCUUGAAAACUUCUUCAA
rnacentral:misc_RNA from 1 species